UUAUGGUUACCACCUUAUGCGGUACUGUGGUGUGUAUCCAGCUGCUCAGGGGAGCUUUUUGCUCAGGGUCGGUUCCAACCCUGACACCAACAGUCCAAGGGACCUAACAAUUAAAAAAAAGGGGACAUAUUACAACAUCAAAACAAACAAAAAUACAAACACUGCAUACACCGGUGACAAGGGUGCUUGGUGGAAAUUGCACCCACACUUGGCCCACCCAACCUUGACCCUUAUGUCCAAUAAUCGUUAAAUAUCUUAAGGGCCCCGCAUUCCACUAACACUUACCACGCAAUUUACACCCUAUAUUCCCCCAAGAGUUUACAAAUUAGCACAUCAUAUCGACUAUUAACACUUACACAUAUAAAUAAUUUAUUGACAUAUCGAGAGUUGACUUAAUCCUAACAAAUAAAUAUUUGAACAAUGUUGACUUUAAAAUUCCUAACACCUGAAUCUGUCUUUAUGUGAGCCAAUCGCUCGGGCUACUACAGUCUACGAAGAGUACAUAAAAAUUUUUGCCAAACUGGCCACUUUAAGCAUCUACUCCCUCCCUAAUAGAGCUCUGUUAAGGGGGUAUUAUGGACGUUACCUUAUGUCCAAAAUUACCAAUAAACUGGAACUCUCCCUUCGUAUGACGGUCUAACCCUACGCUCAGGUAUAUAACCGGGCGUUAGAAAUUUUCACAAUAUAAAAAUCUUAACCUAAAUUCUAUACACUAAGGACAAUCACACUUAAACUACAGACAAUUACAUUAAAUUAAACUAGUCAGUACAAAAUUUUGGUGUCAUUCCAUUUUUCAUUCAAAUUAAUCAUUAAUCAAAAUUCUCUUCUUUUUUUUCCAGGCCGCAGGAGGAAGAUAUAUAUAUGCCACUUGGCCGCACCAACCGUUCAGGACUCGAUAUUGAUGAUCUUUUUGACCUUUUCGGCAUCAGACCUACCGAGCCGACCACUGUUUGAAUACCGGUACUUUGGCGGACCGGGGCUUGGCCUCACUCACGGACUUUCUGGGCAGCAGCGCUUCUCUUGCGUUUAUAUAAAAAAAUUUACUGACCUCCUCCACCGAAAACUUGGAGGGGUCAGAUAUCUAGCCGUCUUUUGUUGGGGUGUUAUCUUAAAAGAAAAAACACAACAUCGAAACACCAAAAAGACAUACACUAUUAGAACAACAGAAACUUACAAAAUUUUGGUCACACACACACAUACACAACAAUCGGCCAAUAAAAAAUAAAAAAAUUUACGAAAACUUUAA